GGGGGUAUAGCUCAGUGGUAGAGCACAUGCUUAGCAUGCAGGAGGUCCUGGGUUCAAUCCCCAUUACCUCCA
rnacentral:tRNA from 1 species